rnacentral:rRNA from 1 species
AUUGAACGCUGGCGGCAGGCCUAACACAUGCAAGUCGAACGAGGGGGGGACGUGUGAGUAAUGUCUGGGACACUGCCCUAGGGGGGGGGAAAACUACUGGAAACGGGAGCAAAUACCGCAUACCAUCGGAUGUGCCCAGAUGGGAGUAGCUAGUAGGUGGGGUAACGGCUCACCUAGGCGACGCUCCCUAGCUGGUCUGAGAGUAUGACCAGCCACACUGGAACUGAGACACGGUCCAGACGCCUACGGGAGGCAGCAGUGGGGAAUAUUGCACAAUGGGCGCAAGCCUGAUGCAGCCAUGCCGAGUGUAUGAAGAAGGCCUUCGGGUUGUAAAGUACUUUCAGCGAGGAGGCGUUACUCGCAGAAGAAGCACCGGCUAACUCCGUGCCAGCAGCCGCGGUAAUAC